rnacentral:rRNA from 1 species
AACGAACGCUGGCGGCAUGCCUAACACAUGCAAGUCGAACGAGACCUUCGGGUCUAGUGGCGCACGGGUGCGUAACGCGUGGGAACCUGCCCUUAGGUUCGGAAUAACUCCCCGAAAGGGGUGCUAAUACCGGAUAAUGUCUUCGGACCAAAGAUUUAUCGCCUUUGGAUGGGCCCGCGUUGGAUUAGCUAGUUGGUAGUGUAAAAGCCUACCAAGGCUACGAUCCAUAGCUGGUCUGAGAGGAUGAUCAGCCACACUGGGACUGAGACACGGCCCAGACUCCUACGGGAGGAAGGAGUGCGGAAUAUUGGACACUGGGCGAAUGGCUGAAACAGCAAUGCCGCGUGAGUGAUGAAGGCUUUAGGGUUGUAAAGCUCUUUUACCCGGGAUGAUAAUGACAGUCCCGGGAGAAUAAGCACCGGCUAACUCCGUG